ensembl:lncRNA
CGCUGGAGGAGAAGUCACGGCCGCUGCGAGUGUCAGCGCGCCGCAGGAGGAGAGGAGUCGUAAUGAGGGGCCUCCUUAUCUUAAUCCCCGGGUGCGUGUCGCCCCGAUAGACUCCUCCGCAGCCGAAUGUUUGGCAGAUACUAAAACGCUUGAAUCCAAUAUGGGCGCCGUAAUGACCAAGAUAAGUGUCUGCAGCUCCGCUACAAAUCCCUCAAAAGAGCCAGCCACCACCGCCACGCGUAUUAAUCCCAAAAUUAACUGCUCGGUGAUGAGAGAGGCAGAUAGGGAGGAGGGGGAGAGAAGAGGAGAGGUGGAUACUCGGCGGGUGAAGCAGGAGGAGAAGGGGAGGAGAGGGCGGAGCGGCUCGCAGCAGGAAGCAAAGACAGCAGCGGAGAAGCAGGUGAGCUCUCAGUCAGCUGCCACCAGAACAGCACACGCCUCAGUGAGACCGCCCACCUCCAGGACCAAGACAGUCAGAAGACUCCCUGUGUUGGGAGCAGGAGCAUCCAGGAUCCAGCUGUAAGGGAGCUCCCUCCGUCUCCUCCCCGCUGAGCAGAUCUCUCUCCUCGGCUUCGUUCCUCCGGCUGCCUCCCCCCCCCCCCCCCCUUCUGAUCUCCCAAAUCUCACUGCUGCCUCUGAACGGCUCGUUCAUCCAGCAGUUUCAGGGUUACGUCCUACAACUUAUUCACAGUGAUAGCGGGUCUGACUCCAGGUUUGAACUUUAGUUUCUGAGUAAUACGAAGCAGCUUUUAGGGUUUGUCUUGACUAUGUUUUUGGGUUAGUCUGUGGACAACAUGUAGAAUUUACAUCAUAAAGACGAAGAUUUAGGAGCUCAGAAGAAAACAACGUAGUAACAAUACAUCCAAGAACCAUUUAAAUGUGAUUAUCAAAUAGAUUUUUAGGGUUACAAAUGAGACAAUGCAGUGUAUUGAGUUUAUGAUUCAGGAUGGAUAGAAGGCAGACAAGAAGUGUUGGACUAUUUAUUGCCGUGAGAUCCCAUAUGUCUGAGAGGAAAAUCACUGAGAAGAAUCGAUUAGUUUCCAGCAGCUGCAGAGAGAUAUUUCACCAAUGAGUCACAAAGUUACAUGUCCUAUUCAUUACCAACUAAAAUGGCUUUUUACGUCCAAGUGUAGGCAAAGCAGAAUCAGCUGAACCUUUAUAUUCAUUGUGCUUUGGUGUGUCAUGGUUUGGUUCUGCGGCACAGAGGUCAGAUGAUGCCGCUUGAACUUUUGAACUGUGCCAUUUGCAUUUCAAGCAGGACAAAUAAAACACCGAGAACGAUGAGUGCGAGGACGCUGUGGAUGUCAUGUAGAGAAAUGUUCUGAACUGACCUGGAAUCAGCCGGAUUUUACAGCUUUACACAACAGAUGGACCCUUCGUCUUCUUCAUGCAUUUCUUUAAUGACGCUACUUCCUGUUGUUUUCUGGAGGCUGGUCGCACAAAGAAAUGUUAGAACUGUCUUACUGAGUUUCGCGAUGCCAAUUAAGAGUGUGGAUGAGAUGGACACAGCUGCAAAGGUUGUUGUAAGUCCACUAACACAAAUUAAAACUCUUAUAUUGACGUAUUUUAUUGUGUUGUUUUGAAACGUUUCACCUCAGUUUCCGUGUCUACUGAAAAUGACGUCAUAUUUUCUACUUGUUGGUUAAGAUGAAACAUAAACACAAAGUCAUUUUGAGUGAAUGAUUCAACAAAAUGUCAAUUCAGUCCAACCUGCAUCUUAUAAAAAACCCUUUGCAGGAUUAAAGUUUCCUAUCUGUGGUAAUUAAAGCAGCGUUAAGCAUUUGUUGACCACCAGGGGGCAGAAGACUCGUAUACGAUUGGCUAACCACGUUUUUCUCUCCACAAUGUUAUAAAACAGUUUCCCAGAGUUCUGUUUUACUUUAUGUUAUUGACAAACUGCAGAUCUGAGUCUGUCUUUGAGAAACCAGCGAGCCUUUUGGUUUUUCGUUCUUUCGUUCGACAUCAUCCAUCACAAACUUCUUCCUCUGCUCACGUAGUUUCCUGGAGGUACCUCACUAAUGUUCUGCCUCACAGACAAAUCUUCAGCCAGUUUGCAUGACUUCUUACUGUAUCUCAGUUGUGCAGUUGUGUACACCCUGUUAUCUUAUACACACACUGUUAAACCCGUACGCUGCAGUGUCGCAGCACAAGUAGCAUGUUACUUCCUAACAAACAACACUUGGUCUGUGUCUAUUGAUGAUGUCAGUAUUCAUAAUGUGUCGCUGUGACGAACUCAUUAGAUCUAUUUACAGUUGUAGCUAGAAGCUCUCCAUCCUAGUAGUAUCAGCACUGGAGUGUCGUACGACUCGGUAGACAAACAUCACACAACAACAGAGAGAACUUAAUGUGUUAAAGCGAUCAUGAAGAUAUGUUCAAAGGGUGUGACGAACUUGCUUUUAACAGACGUGAAUACAUCUCGUCGUGAUGCAUUGUAGAGUUAGUGUUAACAACACCUACAAAUAUUAAUACUUGUUAGAAGACCCACAUUUGUAGAACUUCACAAGAUACAAAGAGGCCAAUACGUUGUAUUCAACCGUAUUUAUAGAAGCUAAAACUCCCGAAUGUAUUAUCAUGACAGUAAAGGCAACACUGAGCGUUUGGCCUUCAAUGGAGGGAAAUCCUGAUCAACUAUCAAACAGCGGUACUCUUUGAUUUAGUCGUGCGCAUCUCAUUCAAACCCCAAAAAAUGCCGAACCUGAAGCCUUCGCUGGAACAAUGACAUCAUCAGCUGUGUGUUUAAACACCUAAGACACAACUAAGAAGAACAUCACACUGGUCUGUCGCGAGGUGGACGCAGUAUGUACAUGUUGUCUUUCCGAUUAUUCAUUAGAUCAGAAAACAUGGAUCAGGCGCUGACACGGACAGAUUCAGUUGAUUAGUUUGGAAAACCCGUAGAGACCUUGUUUAUCUACUUUUUAAUAUUGGAAUUGAAGUGUUGCGCAAAUACUUUUACUCGACUUGAGACUCCAAUAUUUGUAAACUAAUUUAACAUCUGAAGUGGUAAAUUCAAAAUGUUCUAACUGUAUAAGUUGACGAUGACUACCUGAACAUACUCGUACUUUCUUCUUGAGGGGGGGGGGAGUGGUAGCGCCUCUCCAGACGCCAUCUCCUCUGGCGUCAGGCUCCUCUACAAAGGUUCCUCCAAAUCCGGGCAGUGCAGUGUUGUGUUCUCUCGAGUUCCUGAACAGGAUCAUGUUUUCUCAAAGCGUUCUCGGUCAGUCAAGUAAGCACAGUUCCUAUUUACCACUAGUAAACUCUAAAUCUGUCUAGGUUUAUUGGCUGGGAGAUACCUUCAUGUUAGAGGGAGGAAGACGUGAUCAUUUUUGGUGAAUCCUCUGUAGAUCUAAUUAGGGAAGGGCAGCGUCAAGCACUUGAUAUAUACAACUUUAUGAACAGCUAAAGUGCAACUUCUUGGUGGUACACUCACACGUGUUAAUGAGAAGUACCACAAGCUUUCUGGAGAGGGAGGGAAGUCGAGAUGAUGCUGUGGUGAAUCCUCCGUAGACUCAUUUGGGGAAGAUACUUGUAGGCUGACACAGAUACUUUAUGUGACCAACCCUCAUUCUGAGGUCCUGAUUCUAAAAUUCUUAAUCGCGGAGGCUUGGCGAUGUACCUACUGCUAUGUGGAUGAAGUCGAUGUGCUCUGAAUCCAUGGAGAUAACACUCACACCCAUCAGGUCAAAUGUAGCUCUACCUGAGUACAUUGUGAACUGAACCUCUCCCCUCUCUGCUGGCAGCAGCGUCUGCAAACUGAGGGUUGAACCAUGAAACAAUAAAAAAAGAGACCGGAUUUAAUCUAUGCAACACAACCAAAGUGGUGUUGUUGUGUAGGCGUUACGGUUUGACUGUUGGUGGGGACGUGUGUUGUAAUUAAUACUGCUGUGUGUAAGUACACCACUACUGUACCAUGUAUUGUUUCCUUUUUUUAUUUUCUAGACGACUCCUGAAAUGAUGAUUAGCAGUGACGCUGGGGUUUAUGGGGGUUUUUGGGGGAUUGGAGUUGCGACAGGUGUGUGUAGGACAAAAUAGGGUUUGAAAUAUUUCAAAUAUAAUUGUGUGCCUUGCUCUACUGUUACUACUUCUACCCUUUUUUGUUAAUUAAAACCACUGCUUUCCCAGUUAGGUGAUGAAAACAUGCAACAAAAAAAUAAAAACGAGAAACAUAAACAGUUUCAAGCAAGGUUGAAGUGGAGCUUGUGUAUAUAUGUAAAGGUGUGAAACCUUGGUGUAAAAGGCAGAGGGAGGAAUGCUUGAUGUUUGUGUUUAUUUAACUCUGUAUGUGAACUGUGAUGUGGAAUAUCUUUAUUAUUAGUAUUGGCCAUAAAGAGCUUGACUGCAUGGUUCCUGCUAACUACAAUGUAAAACCAACUGUUGACAAAUAAACUUAAUUUAUUGGGAAAAAAAGAAAUGUUGUUCUGUAUUUUCUUCAUUGUGCCCGUACGAUACGUUCUACGUUCUACGUUCACAACAUAUA